CCUUUUCCUGGCAGCCUGCUUUAACUGCUUUAUUAAAUGCCACAGGGAUGCAGUCGGGAUACAUGCGGCACACACACUCAGUGCAAACAAACUGCAAUAAAGUCCUACAGUCAGGUGCCAUGCCAGGCUCUAUGGAUUGUUGUGUGAGAGUGUGGGUGAGACUAGAAGAGUGGCACUUAGGAGAGGAGGCUAGGACUCCAGCAUCCCCUAGUACACACAAUCUUUGCUUGACUGUCAGUGUCCUCCAGAGGACUCUGGGGCUGACCUAACCAGGCUACAGAGUUCUUCAUGAUUUCAGAGAUGGAAGGGGAUAGCCCAAUGGAGUGACAACCUCUGCCUUUGGCACUCUCAGUUUGCAGCCUGAAUGUAGCUCUCUAGUCCCCUUGUAAGGUGGCCCCUCUAGAAGAAAGGCCACCUGGAAGCCACAUCAGGCUGUUUUUCUGGUUGGCUGUUACAAGCUCUGCAGUUACACUUUAAUAUGCCACAUGCCAUAAACAUGUGAUAAUAAUGUAAAGGACCACAUGUAUUGUAAUUAGUGGCAAACCAAAACUUACCACUAAAUUGCUCUCCUUUUAACUUGUUGUUUAGAAUGAUCCUUUCUUUCUUCCCUGUUGGAAAGCCAUUUUCUGAGUGAAAGUUGCCUCUUCCCAUCAAGUUUAUCCAUUUCACUCUUCUUAAUUCAGAGAGUUCUCUCUACAGAACAGAGAAUCCUUGUCUGGGUCUUCAAUCACAUUUGCAAGCCCUGAAGUUCUAGUGGAAUUAUCUAACAUCUUGCCCUGGCCAGAGCAUAAGACCUUCAGGAGUGUGGAGUAUCUGCGUGGCUGGUUCUCAGCGUUCUCCAUAUAUUCGCUCUCAGCGUGGAGUUUCACUGAAUUCAACGAAGACACCUGAAACACCUGCCCUGUGCCAUGUGUGGACAUGAUGCCUCUGCAUGAUCUGAAGAGGUAAGCAGAAUGUUGUGUGAAGGAAAGCACUCAUCAGUGUCCUAUCACCACCACAUAGGCAUUCCCACCAGGACACUCUGAACGUACAGCUUCCCUACAACCACGUACAUAAACACUGGUGGAGAAGCAUUGAAGCCAUCACCCACAGGACAGCAGCACCAUGGACUCCCUCAACAAAAAUGUUUUCUUUUCCCAAGGAUGAAUACUGAGAGAGAAAAUAACUACCGGUAAGAGUGUCACAGGACAGCCAGAGCCCCUGCUGAUCCUCAACGCACAUGAGGCAGGCUGCAGGACAGCCAAACAACUAUCAGACGUGUGCUCUGUUGUGGCAAUAGCACAGGGUUAACUGCAUCGGAAGCAGGGCUAGCUGACCCCUGCCCUGCCAUCACCUGUGACAGUCAUCCCUACCCUAGAGCAUUCCAUUACUCUAUUCUUCCCCCCUUUGCAAGGCAGCUGAGGUACAGGGCUACAGAGAGUCCAGAAGAGAUUCAUCUCUGCCCAGGGCAUGCGUUUGCCCGACAGUAGGUCAAUAAAGCCAUCUUCAUAUAUCCAGAAA